UGGUUACAGGGGGACGCUUUGGAGCUCUGCUGCUCAGCAGCAAAAUAUUUCAGAUCAAUAUGUAAAUACUCCAACUCUAAAACCAAGUAAAAUAAAUAUGCUGCAUAUGUGUAUAUUGCGUUCAUGUGUGUGUGUGCGCUGCGUGGUAACGUAGGCGCGUGCAUGUGUGCCCCUGUCACAGCUCCUUUCAGCAUGGCCGGAGGUAACUCACUGCCACUUUGCUCGCAGCUAAUUAAAGUUUGUUCAGAUCCCAAGCUGCAAUGUGAAUACAGCCAAACCGCCGCGUUUUUGUUUGUCAUUAAGAGACUCAUUCGGGAUAAGUUUUGUGGAGGGCGGAGUUCACUAAUAUACGCUUAUGAGUUUUAGCCGAGAACGCAGCUAAAAUGCUAGCAUGCUAAGUUAGCCUGAUUGCUAGCGGCUACUCGCGGCAGUCUUUUUUUAACAGCAUGCACUCUUUUUUCCUUCGUCAGGAGAGGUGUACUGGCAGUCGCGUGACACACACAGAUCAGACACAUAUUUCUGUGUUGCAGAUGUGCAGUAAAGAGCCAAAGACCCAGUACUGUCUCCUGCCUCUUACUUUCACGCCAGAACACAACGCAAGAACAACAGGCGUAACACAUGAACGGGUUACACAUACUGAGGUGAGUUGUUGAGGAUAUGUCGAGCUGUUGAUGAGCACGGCUGGUUUUGUGCUCUUAUAUACUGUUAGCCUGUUUUGCUGGCGUUAGUGAAGCUGUUUUCAACUGGAUGUAACAUUGUUGAACUCUGAUGAUUAAUGAAUAAACUCUCGAUGUGACGAUGUGAGCAUGUAAUUGUAACCCUGUGUUCAUUUAGUCGUUUGAUACCGUUUAAUAUCCAGUACAUCUAUUGGGUGUUUUAUAACAUGCCCUGGAAUCAUUUUAAGUUUUACAAUGCCGGUGAUUUACGACUCUUUCGCGACAGUCAACUGUGGCGUAAACUCUGGCGGGUCUCAGAGCUAGCUUAUGUGAGCCAGCAGUGACAUCUAUACAUGCAGUAGCCUUAAAAUACUGAUUAUUUAUUCUCCUGCUAGGUAAGAAUUUGUGUUUUAUACGUUUAUUGUCACAUUGUGCGCCAUGUUAUUGUUUCGGUGAAAUGAAUUUCUACAAUGGCGGACUUAGACAAAAUAGUGUUACUGUUAAUUUGACUCUCUGCAGUGUUUAAAUGCUUACACACAUACACACACACACACAGUUACUGUCCCUCCACACGUAUCAGUUCUGCUUCUAUGCCCCAUCUUUGUUUACUCUUUCCCACCCAACAAGUGCAUAAAUAAGAUGUUAAAAACAUCAUCAUCA
ensembl:lncRNA